rnacentral:rRNA from 1 species
UAGAGUUUGAUCAUGGCUCAGGAUGAACGCUGGCGGCGUGCCUAACACAUGCAAGUCGAACGGGGUCUUAGUGCGGAAGUUUUCGGAUGGAAGGAUUAAGACUUAGUGGCGGACGGGUGAGUAACGCGUGGGUAACCUGCCCUGUACAGGGGGAUAACAGUUGGAAACGGCUGCUAAAACCGCAUAACAUGGAGAUACCGCAUGAUAUUUCCAUCAAAUAUUUAUAGGUACAGGAUGAGCCCGCGUCUGAUUAGCCAGUUGGCAGGGUAAUGGCCUACCAAAGCGACGAUCAGUAGCCGGCUUGAGAGAGUGACCGGCCACAUUGGGACUGAGACACGGCCCAAACUCCUACGGGAGGCAGCAGUGGGGGAUAUUGCACAAUGGGGGAAACCCUGAUGCAGCGACGCCGCGUGAGUGAAGAAGUAUUUCGGUAUGUAAAGCUCUAUCGGCAGGGAAGAAAAAAAUGACAGUACCUGACUAAGAAGCCCCGGCUAACUACGUGCCAGCAGCCGCGGUAAUACGUAGGGGGCAAGCGUUAUCCGGAUUCACUGGGUGUAAAGGGAGCGUAGACGGCCAUGCAAGCCUGGAGUGAAAGCCCGGGGCCCAACCCCGGGACUGCUCUGGGAACUGUGCGGCUGGAGUGCGGGAGGGGCAGGCGGAAUUCCUGGUGUAGCGGUGAAAUGCGUAGAUAUCAGGAGGAACACCGGCGGCGAAGGCGGCCUGCUGGACCGCGACUGACGUUGAGGCUCGAAAGCGUGGGGAGCAAACAGGAUUAGAUACCCUGGUAGUCCAC